rnacentral:rRNA from 1 species
UACGAAGGGGCUAGCGUUGCUCGGAAUCACUGGGCGUAAAGGGUGCGUAGGCGGGUCUUUAAGUCAGGGGUGAAAUCCUGGAGCUCAACUCCAGAACUGCCUUUGAUACUGAGGAUCUUGAGUUCGGAGAGGUGAGUGGAACUGCGAGUGUAGAGGUGAAAUUCGUAGAUAUUCGCAAGAACACCAGUGGCGAAGGCGGCUCACUGGCCCGGUACUGACGCUGAGGUGGCGAAAGCGUGGGGAGCAAACAGG